CGGGGCAUAGCGCAGUCUGGUAGCGCACUGCUUUGGGAGCAAGGGGGUCGCAAGUUCGAUCUUGUGCCCCGA
rnacentral:tRNA from 1 species